AACGAACGCUGGCGGCAGGCUUAACACAUGCAAGUCGAGCGCCCCGCAAGGGGAGCGGCAGACGGGUGAGUAACGCGUGGGAAUCUACCCAUCUCUACGGAAUAACGCAUGGAAACGUGUGCUAAUACCGUAUACGUCCUUCGGGAGAAAGAUUUAUCGGAGAUGGAUGAGCCCGCGUUGGAUUAGCUAGUUGGUGGGGUAAAGGCCUACCAAGGCGACGAUCCAUAGCUGGUCUGAGAGGAUGAUCAGCCACACUGGGACUGAGACACGGCCCAGACUCCUACGGGAGGCAGCAGUGGGGGAUAUUGGACAAUGGGCGCAAGCCUGAUCCAGCCGUGCCGCGUGAGUGAUGAAGGCCCUAGGGUUGUAAAGCUCUUUCACCGGUGAAGAUAAUGACGGUAACCGGAGAAGAAGCCCCGGCUAACUUCGUGCCAGCCGCCGCAGUAAUAC
rnacentral:rRNA from 1 species